AACGAACGCUGGCGGCGUGCUUAACACAUGCAAGUCGAACGGAAAGUCCGGGCCUAUGUGCGGUCGGGGACGUGCGAACGGGGGAGUAACACGUGAGUAACGUGCCAUUCACUGUGGGAUAAGUUAAUGAAACUGGGGCUAUUAGGGGAUAGGAGCUCCUGCUGCAGGGUGGGGGUUGGAUAGUUUCGGUGGUUGGGGAGGGACACGCGGCUUAUCAGCUUGUUGGUGGGGUAGUGUGUUAGCAUGACCUGGACAGGUAGCAGGCCUGGUAGGGUGACCGGACACACUGGGACUGGAAUACGGCCCAGACUCCUACGGGAGGCAGAAGUGGGGAAUAGUGUACUAUGGGCGGAAGCCUGAUGCAGUCACGCCGCGUGCGGUAUGACGUCAAUCGGGUUGUAUACCGCUUUCCCCUGUGACGAAGCGUGAGUGACGGUAAUGGGUAAAGAAGCACCGGCUAACUACGUG
rnacentral:rRNA from 1 species